UACGUAGGGGGCAAGCGUUGUCCGGAAUCAUUGGGCGUAAAGCGCGUAGGCGGCCCUCCUUGUCGCGUGUGAAAGCCCCGGGCUCAACCUGGGAACGGCGCGCGAGACGGGGGGGCUGGAGUUCGGGAGAGGAGCGUGGAAUUCCCAGUGUAGAGGUGAAAUUCGUAGAUAUUGGGAAGAACACCGGUGGCGAAGGCGGCGCUCUGGACCGAGACUGACGCUGAGGCGCGAAAGCGUGGGGAGCAAACAGG
rnacentral:rRNA from 1 species